CGACCUCUCCCCAGCCGCCUUAAAGAGCUGCCGCCUAUCGUCGGUCACCGCCUAAGCGUGAAGCUGCUCGGACUUGGCUGCCGCUGCAGUGGCUCCUGCUGGGACUUUCCUCUGAAGGACAGGUGCUCGGCGUGGACAUCGCAGGAAAGAGCUCCCUGGUACAGUGCAUCAGUCAGGCCAGGCCCCCCAAAAACCUACUUGAUUUAACUGAGCGGGCCAGUGGUCUGCCGCUUCUGUCCGCGCGGGCUGAGGAUCCGCU